rnacentral:lncRNA from 1 species
GUUCUAUUACACCAGUAUCCCAGGCUAGGAGAGGAUUGAGCGCUCACAAACUUGCCUCCUCCACAUUCUCAAUGUGCCUGUCCAAAGUCAGGAGCCUGUCGUUCAGUGGUUGUUGUUGGUUCAUUUCUGCCAUAUUGUUCUUCGUAAAUUGUAAUACAUUAGGCCGUUAUCUUUUUCAUAUUGAAUUGUUUCAUAUUUUUUUUAUGUCGGGGCCUUUUAUAGAUGAAUAUACGGUAUGGCUGUUUCUUAUAAUGUUGAAGGUCGUAUGGUUGCCUUUAACUGCUCGCAUUCACCUCAUCUGAACAUUCGUGGGUAACUGUCUCAUUGGUAAUCAUACCAAAGAGAUCCAAACUUUCCAAAAACUUUUAAUUUUUUUCAAGUAUUUAUAAUUUUAUGAAAAUGAGGAAAGUAAUGAUGUUUCAUUUAAAAGAAAUGACUUCACCUGCACGUGACAUACUG